CAGACCUCUAAUCGGAAAAGACUAC
rnacentral:rRNA from 7 species